UUAUUUUGUUUGGAAAACCCAAGUUUUUGAUGCAAAUUAAUGUUUAGCCAUAAAAAAGUCCUGAAAUGUGAAAAGUUGCAUAUUAAUAUGUCCUGCCGGGUAUCCUAUGUCAUGCCUUGUUGUGCAAUGGGAGUUCACAUAGUGAAACAAGUCUCAUGGUAAACUACCAAUUUACAGUGGAUCCAAUUGCACACUACUAGGCAUCAUGCAAUGGGGCUAAUGGCAAAAUGGCUAUACUAGUGACUUCAUUUGUGUAAUGAUCCUGAAGUCAUAGUUAUGCCUUUUGAUCAUAUGAAAAUUGUGCAACAUCAUAAUAUACCUUUAUGUGAUCAAAAAUCAGUUUUAAACAAUGUAAAUACCCUAAAGGCACAAUAUUCCUUCUAAUCUCAGAAACCAAGCAGGAUCAGCCCUAGGUAGUGCUUAGAUGGGAGACCACCAAUGAAUGCCAGGUGCUGUUGGCAUAUUUCAGAGGAAGAAAAUGGCAAAAAAACCCUCUGAAUAUUCCUUGUCUAAAAUAAUCCUAUGAAUUAAUGGAUGACAUCAUAAAUCAACAAUUCUGAAGGCCAUCACCUUUCCUCACAGGAAAAGAGACCAUUUCACAGAUGAAAAGGAUACAUAUGACCAAAUAACAUCUUGUUGGCAAAAGUGUGGAUCCUUACAUCUGAGUGAAAUGAACAAGAUUGCAAAAUGUAUGCUGCUGAAGUUGAAAGCAAAAUUGCGCUCUAGUGAGUAGAAAGCACACCACAAAAUUGGAGCAAGCAAGAAGAACAAAGAUGAGGAAAUGAGGAGACUAAAUGCUAAAUUAGGAAGAGAUCAAGCAGCCUGCCUACCACCAAGGAGCAAAUUGACAAAGAAUUACAUGGAAAAUGCAGUGUGGGGAGAGAAAUAAAUAUCAGAAUGAAUCAGAUCUGCCCUGGACUUGUAGGGAGAGAAGAAAAGCCACAGCUCCACCAUGCCUAGACCCAGAGGCAGAUGAAUGACAGUUUGAACUGCCAUUGUGCUAACUUUAGAGGAAAAGAAGAAACAGACAGCUUCAUUACUCCUAGGCCCUGAAGCAAAUGGAAGAUCUUCCUUCAUUUCAACUGCCACUGCCCUGGCCAUGUAGGAAAAGAGUGAGACAUCAUGCCUAGAAGCAAAUAAAAGCCCUUCCUGCAUUCCACUGUCCUAGUCUGAAAGGAAGAAAAGAAGACAUAAACACAGCAAUAUCAUGUCCAGAGGGAGAUGAAAAGUCACCCUCUAAGUUCCAGUUGCCACUGGCCUGGUCACUGAGGGAGAGAAGAAGAAGCAAUACCUGCUAGAUUUUUCCCCUCACAAACUUUGCCAUCCCCUUUCAUUUUGUGUCAUGUCUUCAUUAAAUUGUUAACCUGA